UAAGUAGAUAGUGAAAGCGUGUGGCUCAACCAUACUCACAUUAUCUAAACUGCAAAGCUAGAAGAUGAGAGAGGUACCUGGAAUUCUCAAUGUAGGAGUGGAAUCCGUAGAUAUUGGGAGGAACACCGAUGGCGUAGGCAGGGUACUGGCUCAUUCUUGACACUAAGGCACGAAAGCGUGGGGAGCAAACGGGAUUAGAUACCCCGGUAGUCCACGCCGUAAACUAUGGAUGCUA
rnacentral:rRNA from 1 species